ACUUGGUUUUCUUCGAAAGGCGCGAGACUCCAGUGUCUUCUCGCGCUCGUGGAGGCAGAGAGCGAAUACAAAGGUUUAAUUAAACUUCCCUUAUGAAACGACAGGAAGAGAUUUCAGUGAAUGUAAAGUCUGAAACAAAUCUCAAACGAACGAGAGAAGUUCGAUGGUGCCUAGUGAGUUUCAAAGUCUCCUUCUCUGACGCCUAGAGGAAGUUCCCGUGAUUGCCAAGGAAUUUUAAAUUACACCUUCUUAGACAACUUGAUGAGGGUUCAGUGAUUGCCAAGGGGUUUACAUAUCAUGUCUCAGACAGCUAGAAGUUCCAGUCAUUGGUGAGGAAUUUUGAAUUGCACCUUCUCUGACAACUACAGAAAGUUUUAGUGAUUGCCAAGGAGUUUUUCAUAUGGUUUCUCAGACAUCUAGAAGCUCCGGUGAUUGCCAAGGAAUUUUGAAAUACACGUUCUUAGACAACUAGAAGUUCCAGUGAUUGCCAAGGAAUUUUAAAUGACUCAGACAGCUAGAAGAAGCCUCAUCGGUUGCUAACUGGUUUUGCUUACUCCUUCUCAGGCCUUUGGAAGAAGUUUCAUUGACUGCCAAGGAGUUUUAAAUUCUCAUUUAUGACAGCUAGAGGAAGCUCCAGUGAUUGCCAAGGAGCUUUACAUAUACUCCUUUUCAGAAAACUAGAAGAAGUUUCAACGACUGCCAGAGGGUUUUGAAUAUUUCCUUAGACAACUGGAGGAAUCUUUAGCGAUUGCCACAAGGUUAUGAAUACUCCUCUGACAGCUAGAGGACGCUGCAGUGAAUGCCGAGGGCUUUUGCGUACACCUUCUCAGGCGGCUAGAGGACGCUCCAGCGACUGCCAAAGACUUUUGCUUACACCUGCUCUGACAUCACUGAUCGCCAAGGAUUUUUAAACACUCCUUCUCGGACAACUCGGGUGAUCAGGAAGAAAAUCUAAUCAGAAACCAUGCCUCUGUAGAUGAAACCUGCCCACGUGGAACAAGCACACCAAAGGGGCCAUUGAUUUAAGAUUCAAGUUUCCAAAGCUUGUUGGUUUUACCCUCUAAUCGCAGACCCCACACUGCAGCAGUAACUGAUCAUGGUACGGAGCUGGUGAUUUUCCAUCGCCCCGGGGGAAACGCGAACCCGCAACAUCCGAGUGGCAUUCCCCGACACUCACCACUAUACUAUUCGUCCUGCAGGAUACCCAGGCUGUUAUCAGAGGUUGGUGGAUUGUGUGUUCGCCCGUCCUCGUCAUUUUAAUCGUGCUGAUGAUAACAAACGUGAAUGACAGCAGUUUUACAGCUUUCCAAGUUUUCGUCGUUUUGUCUUUGUUGAGCCUCGUAUUCACCAUCACCUUACAUCAGGGGUGGCGACAAGGUCGCCUAGGUUACCAGGAACUUCCUCCCAACGCAGGAGAGGGAGCUGGAUGGUGCGAGGGCCCUGCAAACGUCUCCGCGCGUCUUCUGGAUUCCGGCGUUCCUCGGGGUGUCGAAGUAGUCCCACCCAGUUACAAACCGACCCGAAGUUCGCUGUCUGCCAGUGACACCAGUCUGGAUCUCCUGAAUCCUACCUUAUCCAUCUGAGUGACGAAAUCUGGACCCGCCAUGCAACUCUGCCCUGGGCGACAAACAGGAAAAUUUCUCUUGGUUUUGGUGUCGUCACUAAAGUUGUUCAGUGAUCAGUAUACAAUUCGCUGGUCACAUCUACGGGAAGCUUGUGGUAUUUCCGGAAGUGAUACUCGUAUACCAAAGUGAAAAUUGAAGAAGCUUUAUAUUCCCUAGUGCUGAUGAAACUUGUGGAAAGCAGAUAAUGUAUGAAGUUUCUUUUAAGCCACCGUGCUACAGCUAGAAGGCCAAGAUUUAAUUUUAACUCAUAACAUUGUAAAUUAUAGAUGUCGAAUUCACAGGCAUUAUGCAUGUUGGGCUAAAGGCUAAGGACUUAUCUUGGCUUAUAUCACUGCACAUAAUGUCUGUCAUAUUCACAUACUAUGACCUUAUGCACUCGUUUCUUUUUGGUCUAUAGUAGAUUCACAUCACCCGUGCAUCUGAUGUCUAGGCUCGUCCCUAACGAUGCUCCUGAUUGGCUGUUGAUAAGCCAAUCACAGUGCUGGACACUCUCAGUCACUCUCGAGAGUUCACAUAGGCAGGAUGUAUGCUCCGCCUCUCCUAAGGAGAGUUGAUACUUACAUCCUGCCAAUGUGAACUCUCGAGAGAGACUGAGAGUUUCCAGCCUUGUCAUUGGUUUAUCAACAGCCAAUCAGGAGCGUCGUAAGGGACUGGCUAGACACCAGGUACACGGAUGAUGGUGAAUCUACUAUAGUAUCAAGUACACGAAUCUGUUGACACAACAGUAACAGCAUCCUUGUCUGUUUGGAUCUUGACAGGAAAGGGAGAACUUUUUCACUUUAAUUUUCCUUCGGAUUCACGGUUUUCAGUGAAAAGAGUUGGGAAUGAGAGAAUUUAAGGAGUAAUCAAUAUGAAACGUGUUUUUUCUACUCUGUGUAAGCGAAUACAAAUCACACAGAAACUAAAGUUUGUCGGAUAAUUGACUGAUUACAAUUUAUCUGUCGACGCAGAUAUCGUGGGUUUAAUUCAUAAGAUUGUUAACAAGAGAAAACUGACUGAUUGGUUUUGACAAAUAAAGGAAUAUUGUUGAUUUCAUGCUGAGAGAGAGAGAGAGAGAGAGAGAGAGAGAGAGAGAGAGAGAGAGAGAGAGAGAG